AUCUACUCUGCUGCCAUUUUGUAAGUGAGCCCAGGAUAUGGAUGCAACUAUCACCUUUAUCACCUAGACCCAUUUAAGAGCUGACUGCCAGUGGGAAAAGAUCUCUUCUGGAGAUCCCUCCGUUGGAGUUUUACAAUGAGCCUAGGACACAGUAGGUGCAUGGGAACUGUUGGGUCAUGGCCUGAACCACUGAUUGAUCACUUGAGGCAAGAACUCAGCCGGCCAUGGGAGCACAGGUGAAGGCAAUUCAGCUGUGCAACUGGAAGGGGUGGAG